CUUGCUUUUUCUUUGGCCCAUCUGGGACUUAAUUCACCUUUCUUGGUACAUCUUUGUUACAUAUUUUGACUUAGAAGUUAUUGUAUCAAAUGACAAAACUUCUAUUACAAAUUUACAAUUAUAUGCCACAUGUGCAAUUUGUAAGUAAUUUCUAAGCUUUUAUACCAACUUCGACUGAAUUAACAGAAUUUUCAUUCGAGGCCAAUAGUCUCUACAGAUGGGGGGAUAUUUUGCAUUAAUGAUGAUGAUACAUAUCAUUCGCCAGGUGGAUCCCAAUGUUAAUGUUCAACAGAUCAGAAAUCUACUUUGUUGAACAAUCACAGCUAUCUGAUCGGUGGACUUCCUCGAGUUGCAUAUGUAUAUCUCUAGUUACUGCAUCAUUUCAUCUACAAUUUGAUGUUUACAAAUGUUUCUGCAUCAUAAAUACUGGGAAUGUAAUUACAAUUUGGUCAUUGCCGGUCUACAAUUUGAUCUUUCCUAUUAACUAAAUUAUGUAUUUCAAAGUUAUUUUCUCCAUUAACGCAAGGCAGAGAUGACAGAUUUCCUGAAAAAGAUUGCAUUGUGGAAUAUGCAUCCAUUAUUCAAAGAAAGGGUGACAUUCCAACUACUCACACUCUCUCCUUGCUAGCUAAAUUAGCUGACAAGCUAAAGAAGUCAGUGGAGGAUAAAAUUCAUUUUCUUAAGGCAAGGGUUUCAGAACUUGAAAGUGAUCUUGUGUCGAAGUCCACAGAAGUUACAUGUUCAGUUUCAAAGAAAGAAGAAGCUCCAUCUUCUACAUUUGCUGAAAUUGACCGUCUGAAGGAAGAAAAUUCUAUAAAAACGUGAGCAUUAUUGAAUGUAUAUGGAGGGUGUUUAUUGUGUUGGAGUGUAUUUAUUUCUUGCACAUGAGGGCACGCCUUAGUUGUAAUUCUUACGAUAGGUUAAGCACAGUGAAGUAUUGUUUAUUUAGAAAUGUGAAUGUAGGAUGCAUUGUAUGAUUUGAUUGCUAUUUGUAAUAUAUGCAUCAUUUUUUUUCUGAUUGUAUUUUAUGUACUAUUUC